rnacentral:rRNA from 1 species
AUUGAACGCUGGCGGAAUGCUUUACACAUGCAAGUCGAACGGCAGCACGGGGGCAACCCUGGUGGCGAGUGGCGAACGGGUGAGUAAUACAUCGGAACGUGCCCAGUCGUGGGGAUAACGUAGCGAAAGUUACGCUAAUACCGCAUACGAUCUACGGAUGAAAGCGGGGGACCGUAAGGCCUCGCGCGAUUGGAGCGGCCGAUGUCAGAUUAGGUAGUUGGUGAGGUAAAGGCUCACCAAGCCGACGAUCUGUAGCUGGUCUGAGAGGACGACCAGCCACACUGGGACUGAGACACGGCCCAGACUCCGACGGGAGGCAGCAGUGGGGAAUUUUGGACAAUGGGCGCAAGCCUGAUCCAGCCAUUCCGCGUGCAGGACGAAGGCCUUCGGGUUGUAAACUGCUUUUGUACAGAACGAAAAGGUUUCUACUAAUACUAGGAGCUCAUGACGGUACUGUAAGAAUAAGCACCGGCUAACUACGUGCCAGCCGCCGCCGUAA